rnacentral:lncRNA from 1 species
GGCCUUUGAUUGACCUGCACUGCAGGUACAAAGGUGGCAGCAAUGUGCCCUGUGAUUUCACUCGGAAGUCCUCAGGCAGCCAUAGGACAGACUGUUUGGAUCCAGAGUGUGCUGUGCCCCAAAGUCACCAGUGCUGGGGUCCGGUGCCUUCACCACUCCUCCUGUCCCUCCCUUGUGGAUCCCACGUGGUUGGUGGCCUGAUCCCUGCUGCCUUCCUAACCUGUGAGGGAGGAACAGGAUUAAAAGGUGAGGGAGGAACAGGAUUAAAAGGAGACCGGUCAGGCAGUCCUCGUCCACACUGCCACACAGAGAGCCUCCAGGUGUCCGCUGCCUCUCCAAGGAAGGAUCCACAUACAGCCAGGCCACCACAGCCUGCUAGCAGCAGAGAGCCAGGGCAGGUCCAGGACUCUCCUGCAGUCUGACCAACACUAAGAAGUUCCUCACACACCACUGGCACUCCGCUAAACACAGAGCCAGGGGGACAGAGGAAAGAAGGCCAGCAGCCUUGACACAGGCAGUUGAACCCUACAUGCUCAAAAGGCACCAGGGAGGGCAAGACACAGUGGGGCCCUACAGGAAAAGAAGAUGGACUGAGCUGCUGACUACAGGUAAGUCCUCUUCUGCCCUGGCUCUGUAGUCAUUUGAUGACACAGAGUGUACCUGGAAUGCGACCACAGUGACCCUCGGGACAACUUGUGUCCUCCUGGCAGGGGUGCCACGGUGCUGCGUCAGGAACGUUGGCACCUCAGGAUCUCUGCAGCUGUCCCAGCCCAGAACCCAGUCUACCUUCUCACCCAGCCUUUGGUUACUUCUCUCCAGUCUCUGCUGAGCUGGAAAUGUCCCUAGGCCAGGGCUACCCUUCUGCCUUCUGCUGCCUACACUUGGCACUGCUUGCAUGGGCCACCUGGCUUGUGGUCUCAGGGCACGCACCAUCCUCUGUGUUCUCUGGAAUAGCCCAGACACACUAGAGGCGUGAGUCCUCUGACGUGCCAUCCUGUGACUAGGUUCUCAGGAAUAGUCCAG